GACGAACCGUGCAAACGUUGUUCGGAAUCACUGGGCUUAAAGGGCGCGUAGGCGGGCCAGCAAGUCCGGGGUGAAAUCUUUCGGCUCAACCGGAAAAGUGCCUUGGAUACUGCUGGUCUGGAGGGAGGUAGGGGCAGUGGGAACUUCCGGUGGAGCGGUGAAAUGCGCAGAUAUCAGGAAGAACACCCGUGGCGAAGGCGGCUCUCUGGGACGGUACUGACGCUGAGACGCGAAAGCGUGGGGAGCGAACAGG
rnacentral:rRNA from 1 species